GAUGAACGCUGGCGGCGUGCCUAAUACAUGCAAGUCGAGCGAACAGACGAGGAGCUUGCUCCUCUGACGUUAGCGGCGGACGGGUGAGUAACACGUGGAUAACCUACCUAUAAGACUGGGAUAACUUCGGGAAACCGGAGCUAAUACCGGAGAAUAUAUUGAACCGCAUGGUUCAAUAGUGAAAGACGGUUUUGCUGUCACCUAUAGAUGGAUCCGCGCCGCAUUAGCUAGUUGGUAAGGUAACGGCUUACCAAGGCAACGAUGCGUAGCCGACCUGAGAGGGUGAUCGGCCACACUGGAACUGAGACACGGUCCAGACUCCUACGGGAGGCAGCAGUAGGGAAUCUUCGGCGAUGGGCGAAAGCUUGACGGAGCAACGCCGCGUGAGUGAUGAAGGUCUUCGGAUCGUAAGACUCUGUUAUUAGGGAAGAACAAAUGUGUCAGUAACUAUGCACGUCUUGACGGUACCUAAUCAGAAAGCCACGGCUAACUACGUG
rnacentral:rRNA from 1 species